rnacentral:rRNA from 1 species
GAUGAACGCUGGCGGCGUGCCUAAUACAUGCAAGUAGAGCGAACAGACGAGAGUGCUUGCACUCUCUGACGUUAGCGGCGGACGGGUGAGUAACACGUGGGUAACCUACCUAUAAGACUGGGAUAACUUCGGGAAACCGUAGCUAAUACCGGAUAAUAUUUAGCUUCGCAUGAAGCAAUAGUGAAAGACGGUUCUGCUGUCACUUAUAGAUGGACCCGCGGUGUAUUAGCUGGUUGGGGAGGUAACGGCUCACCAAGGCAACGAUACAUAGCCGACCUGAGAGAGGGAUAGGCCACACUGGGACUGAGACACGGCCCAGAGUCCUACGGGAGGCAGCAGUAGGGAAGCGUCCGCAAUGGACGAAAGUAUGACGGAGCGAUGCCGAGUGAGUGAAGAAGGUUUUCGGAUCGUAAAACUCUGUUGUAAGGGAAGAACAAGUACGUUAGUAACUGAACGUACCUUGACGGUACCUUACAAGAAAGCCACGGCUAACUACGUG